rnacentral:rRNA from 4 species
GGUUACCGAAUUCAGACAAACUCCGAAUGCCAAUUAAUUUAACUUGGGAGUCAGAACAUGGGUGAUAAGGUCCGUGUUCGAAAGGGAAACAGCCCAGACCACCAGCUAAGGUCCCAAAAUAUAUGUUAAGUGGAAAAGGAUGUGGCGUUGCCCAGACAACUAGGAUGUUGGCUUAGAAGCAGCCAUCAUUUAAAGAGUGCGUAAUAGCUCACUAGUCGAGUGACACUGCGCCGAAAAUGUACCGGGGCUAAACAUAUUACCGAAGCUGUGGAUUGUCCUUUGGACAAUGGUAGGAGAGCGUUCUAAGGGCGUUGAAGCAUGAUCGUAAGGACAUGUGGAGCGCUUAGAAGUGAGAAUGCCGGUGUGAGUAGCGAAAGACGGGUGAGAAUCCCGUCCACCGAUUGACUAAGGUUUCCAGAGGAAGGCUCGUCCGCUCUGGGUUAGUCGGGUCCUAAGCUGAGGCCGACAGGCGUAGGCGAUGGAUAACAGGUUGAUAUUCCUGUACCACCUAUAAUCGUUUUAAUCGAUGGGGGGACGCAGUAGGAUAGGCGAAGCGUGCGAUUGGAUUGCACGUCUAAGCAGUAAGGCUGAGUAUUAGGCAAAUCCGGUACUCGUUAAGGCUGAGCUGUGAUGGGGAGAAGACAUUGUGUCUUCGAGUCGUUGAUUUCACACUGCCGAGAAAAGCCUCUAGAUAGAAAAUAGGUGCCCGUACCGCAAACCGACACAGGUAGUCAAGAUGAGAAUUCUAAGGUGAGCGAGCGAACUCUCGUUAAGGAACUCGGCAAAAUGACCCCGUAACUUCGGGAGAAGGGGUGCUCUUUAGGGUUAACGCCCAGAAGAGCCGCAGUGAAUAGGCCCAAGCGACUGUUUAUCAAAAACACAGGUCUCUGCUAAACCGUAAGGUGAUGUAUAGGGGCUGACGCCUGCCCGGUGCUGGAAGGUUAAGAGGAGUGGUUAGCUUCUGCGAAGCUACGAAUCGAAGCCCCAGUAAACGGCGGCCGUAACUAUAACGGUCCUAAGGUAGCGAAAUUCCUUGUCGGGUAAGUUCCGACCCGCACGAAAGGCGUAACGAUUUGGGCACUGUCUCAACGAGAGACUCGGUGAAAUCAUAGUACCUGUGAAGAUGCAGGUUACCCGCGACAGGACGGAAAGACCCCGUGGAGCUUUACUGUAGCCUGAUAUUGAAAUUCGGCACAGCUUGUACAGGAUAGGUAGGAGCCUUUGAAACGUGAGCGCUAGCUUACGUGGAGGCGCUGGUGGGAUACUACCCUAGCUGUGUUGGCUUUCUAACCCGCACCACUUAUCGUGGUGGGAGACAGUGUCA